GUGAAUCAUCGAAUUUUUGAACGCAAAUUGCACUCUCUGGGAUUCGGGUGCGUAUGCGUGUUUGAGGGCUAGUUUAAAUAAAAAUCGGUGUGGUUGCUGCCUUUCGUGGUGACGCACCGGAUUUGGGUCGUUUUGCCUUCGGUUAAGUGAACUUAAAUUUUGCUUGAUUUUUUUCGAUGGUAUUUAAUUGUUUUUAUGUAUGUUUGGGCUUUAGACUCAUAG
rnacentral:misc_RNA from 1 species